rnacentral:rRNA from 1 species
CUACGGGCGGCUGCAGGCGCGAAACCUUUACAAUGCACGCAAGUGUGAUAAGGGGAUCCUCCGUGCUCAUGCAUAGCAUGGGCUUUUGCCAAGUGUAAAUAGCUUGGCGAAUAAGUGGUGGGUAAGACUGGUGCCAGCCGCCGCGGUAACACCAGCGCCACGAGUGGUGACCACGUUUAUUGGGCCUAAAGCGUCCGUAGCCGGCUUAGUAAGUCUUUUGGGAAAUUGUUGGGCUUAACCCAACAGCGUGCAAGAGAUACUGCUAGGCUUGAGACCGGGAGGAGUCAGAAGUAUUCCAGGGGGAGCGGUAAAAUGUUAUAAUCCCUGGAGGACUACCUGUGGCGAAGGCGUCUGACCAGAACGGAUCUGACGGUGAGGGACGAAAGCCAGGGGAGCGAACCGGAUUAGAUACCCUAGUAGUC